rnacentral:rRNA from 1 species
UACAGAGGGUGCAAACGUUGCUCGGAAUCAUUGGGCGUAAAGCGCACGUAGGCGGCCUAGCAAGUAGGGAGUGAAAGCCCUCGGCUUAACCGAGGAAGUGCUUUCUAAACUACUAGGCUUGAAUACUGGAGAGGGUCGCGGAAUUCCCGGUGUAGAGGUGAAAUUCGCAGAUAUCAGGAGGAACACCAAUUGCGAAGGCAGCUCGCUGGGACGUAACUGACGCUGAGACGCGAAAGCGUGGGGAGCAAACAGG